rnacentral:rRNA from 1 species
CAGCCGCCGCGGUAAUACGAAGGGUGCAAGCGUUACUCGGAAUUACUGGGCGUAAAGCGUGUGUAGGUGGUUGUUUAAGUCUGUCGUGAAAGCCCUGGGCUCAACCUGGGAACUGCAUCUUAUACUGGGUAACUGGAGUGCAGUAGAGGGUAGUGGAAUUUCCGGUGUAGCGGUGAAAUGCGUAGAUAUCGGAAGGAACACCAGUGGCGAAGGCGGCUACCUGGACUGAGACUGACACUGAGGCGCGAGAGCGUGGGGAGCAAACAGGAUUAGAUACCCCUGUAGUCCCUGUCUCUUAUAC